GCAUUAAAUUGUAUUAUCAUUAUAGUGAUGCUUCAGUGAGGGGUAGAAAAUGAUAUUAUUGAUGUCAAGAUAGAGAUACUACAUCCUUUUCUUUGUUGCAUUAUAUUCCUGAAGUAAUUAAUGAUACAGAGAAUGCAAAUCUCAUAGGUUUACCCUCUGAAGAAGAAGAAGUCAAGAAGGCUAUUUCUAAUCUUAGUGAUGAUAGCUCAAAUGGUCCAGAUGGCCUGACUGGUAGGUUUUAUUAGAUUUGUUAGGAAAUAGUUGGAUCAAGAUAUUUACAGAGUUAUUCAAGAGUUUUUCAGAGAGUUGUUCAUGAUAGAAUUGAAGAUUUGUUGCCUGGGUUAAUCUCAUCUAACCAGUCAAGUUUUGUGAAAGCUAGAAGCAUCAUUGAGAAUGUGUUGUUGAUAUAGGAAGUUGUAACAGAUAUCUGGAAGAGAGGUAUUUCUGGAAGAAAAUCACGUGUAUUCUACAUGAUUAUGAGGCUCAAUCAGGCCAGAAGGUGAACAAGGAGAAGAGCGCAUUUUAUAUGCAUCAAAAUGGUAUUGCUGCUGAUAAAAGUCUCGUGGAGGAACGUACAUGGAUAAAUAGAAAUUAAUUCUUUUGAUCUAUCUAGGAUGCCCUAUAUCUCAUCUUAAAAAGAGGAAGGAACAUUAUGCUGCUCAGAUUAAUAAGGUGAAAUCAAAACCUCAGGCCUGAAAUAUUGUCUUAUGAAGGUAAAGAAGUUUUAACCACCAACGUGCUACAAAGUGUUCCUAUGCAUAUAUUAUUAGCCAUUGUUCCUCCUAAAUGUGUUAUUAAAGAGCUUCAUAGAAUUUUUUAGAACACCCUUAGCUAGUAAUUAGGUGGACUUUGGUGUUCUUUGUUUGGCAAUGUACAAUCUUCUGUGGAUGUCGUACCUAUGUUAUUUUAACAUGCUCCUUGCUUUUGAUGCUUUUGUAUACUGUCUUUAAUCUUGAGCCGGGGGUCUAUCGGAAACAGCCUCUCUACAUCUUUAGAGGUAGUGGUAUGGACUGCGUACACUCUACCCUCCCCAGACCCCACUUUGUGGGAAUAUACUGAGUUUGUUGUUGUUGUUGUCUUUUGGAACAAUAAAGUUUUAUAAAAAAGCAAGCACUAGGCAGCUUGGGAUAAAAUUUGUUUACCCAAGCAAGAAGGAAGUUUGGGUUUCAUAUCGAUGUUUGAGGUUUCUCGGGUCAAGUAUGCUAAGCUUUGGUGGAGAUUUAGGACCCAGAAUACAAUGUGGGCCUAUUUCAUGUGGAACAAAUAUUGUAAGAAGAAAAUUCAUUCCCUAGUGCAGUGCAAAGGCAGAUCACAACUGUGAAAGCAUAUGAUUCAAAACAAGGAGAAAAUUAAGCAAUUCAUUUGGUGGGAACCUAAAGAAGAGCAUUAUAGAGCAUGUGCAACUACAUUUGAAUCAUUGCGGGCUUCAAGAUUAGGGGGAUAGGCCAUGGUGGAUCAAAACAAAUUCAGGAAAACUCACAGUGAAAAGUGUUUGGAAAUUGUUGAGAAAACAAGAAGAGGAAUCUGAAUUUUUUAAAGAAGAUGUUGGUGAAGGAAAUUCCUUUUAAAAUUUCUUUCUUUACCUGAAGGGUGUGAACUAGUAGAGUUUCUGUAGCAACAGUUAUGCCUCUUUGGAAUCCUAACAUUUCCCAAUUUUGUCAGUGUUGUAAGAUCCCCGUGAGGGAAAAUAUGGAUCACUAGUUUUUAAAGGGUGAGGUUGCUAUUUCUGUGUGGAAGUUUUUCACUAUUGCUGCAAGUAUUGUAGGGCCAUGGAUUUAGGUGAAGAAAUCAAUUAAGAAGUGGUGGGAUGCUCAUGAAAAUGAUAGACAACUGGCUAUUUUUAAUGUUCUUCCUAAUGUAAUUUUAUGGUUCCUAUGGAAAAAAAGGAACACUGUAUUACAUGGAGGUAGGUACUCUACCAGGAAAGUUAUCUAAGACAUUACAAGUAAUAUCAGAUUAUUCAUGAAAUGAAAGUUUGAUUACAUUGAAGUACCAAGGAAUUGGCCCCAAAUUAUUGCUUUAUUGGAUGAUUACAAGCCUAAUUUUAAGGCUACUAUUGAGAUAUGGAGUGCCCCUCUAAGUGGUUGGUGGAAAUAUAAUACAGAUAGGGCAUCUAGAGGUAAUCCAGACCCCAGUUCUAUGACUUUUUGUGUUGAAUAUUUAUUAGUGCUAAUGAUUUUAAGAUUCCUGAUUCUGCAAAUCUUGUAGCAGAAGUUGUGGCCAUGAGAGAAGGUUUGCGGUAUUGUUUUGAUAAAAAGUUGCUAAAUGUUAUCAUAAAAAUAGAUUCACUGGCCUUGGUUUAUAUACGUAACAGUGUAUGGGAUAUUUCCUGGAGUGUAACAAUGGAGUUCAACUCUAUUAGGAGGUUGAGGGAUUUAAUAUCAGUAAGAGUACAACACUCCUUAAGGAAGACUUUUUGACUUUUUGUUAACCUUGUUUUGUUAGGAUUUUUGUCCUGAUUUUCUUACUAUAUUUAAGUUUUAUUUUUUCUUAGAAGGAAAAUAAAAGUUACCAUAA